rnacentral:rRNA from 1 species
AUUGAACGCUGGCGGCAGGCCUAACACAUGCAAGUCGAACGAGUGGCGGACGGGUGAGUAAUGUCUGGGAAACUGCCCGAUGGAGGGGGAUAACUACUUGAAACGGUAGCUAAUACCGCAUACCAUCGGAUGUGCCCAGAUGGGAUUAGCUAGUUGGUGAGGGAACGGCUCACCAAGCCGACGAUCUCUAGCUGGUCUGAGAGGAUGACCAGCCACACUGGGACUGAGACACGGCCCAGACGCCUACGGUAGGCAGCAGUGGGGAAUAUUGCGCAAUGGGGGCAACCCUGACGCAGCCAUGCCGCGUGAAUGAAGAAGGCCUUCGGGUUGUAAAGUUCUUUCGGUAGCGAGGCGUUAACUACAGAAGAAGCACCGGCUAACUCCGUGCCAGCCGCCGCGGUAAUUC